rnacentral:misc_RNA from 1 species
GUGCUCACUGACCCUGCAUGCAG